GACGAGCCGUACGAACGUUAUUCGGAAUCACUGGGCUUAAAGGGUGCGUAGGCUGCGCAGCAAGUUGGGUGUGAAAUCCCUCGGCUUAACCGAGGAACUGCGCCCAAAACUGCUGUGCUCGAGGGAGAUAGAGGUGAGCGGAACUUAGGGUGGAGCGGUGAAAUGCGUUGAUAUCCUAAGGAACACCGGUGGCGAAAGCGGCUCACUGGAUCUCUUCUGACGCUGAGGCACGAAAGCGUGGGGAGCGAACAGG
rnacentral:rRNA from 1 species